AUCCAGUAUUGCAUAGUGGUUUGAGUACUGGAUUGAGACUCUAGAGAUCAGGGUUCGAUUUCCAGCUUGGAUA